GUUUCCGUGGUGUAGUGGUUAUCACAUCCGCUUAACACGCGGUAGGUCCCCAGUUCGAUCCCGGGCGGAAACA
rnacentral:tRNA from 1 species